rnacentral:rRNA from 1 species
UACCAGCACCCCGAGUGGUCGGGACGUUUAUUGGGCCUAAAGCAUCCGUAGGCGGUUCUGCAAGUCUUCCGUUAAAUCCACCUGCUUAACAGAUGGGCCGCGGAAGAUACUAUAGAGCUAGGAGGCGGGAGAGGCAAGCGGUACUCGAUGGGUAGGGGUAAAAUCCGUUGAUCCAUUGAAGACCACCAGUGGCGAAGGCGGCUUGCCAGAACGCGCUCGACGGCGAGGGAUGAAAGCUGGGGGAGCAAACCGG